ACCUUAUUGGAUAGCUCACUCAGUAGAGCAUGAGACUUCUUAAUUUUAGGGCCAUGAGUUCGAGCCCCAUGUUGGGCA